GACGAACGCUGGCGGCGUGCCUAAUACAUGCAAGUAGAACGCUGAAGAGAGGAGCUUACUCUUCUUGGAUGAGUUGCGAACGGGUGAGUAACGCGUAGGUAACCUGCCUUGUAGCGGGGGAUAACUAUUGGAAACGAUAGCUAAUACCGCAUAACAAUGGAUGACACAUGUCAUUUAUUUGAAAGGGGCAAUUGCUCCACUACAAGAUGGACCUGCGUUGUAUUAGCUAGUAGGUGAGGUAAUGGCUCACCUAGGCGACGAUACAUAGCCGACCUGAGAGGGUGAUCGGCCACACUGGGACUGAGACACGGCCCAGACUCCUACGGGAGGCAGCAGUAGGGAAUCUUCGGCAAUGGGGGCAACCCUGACCGAGCAACGCCGCGUGAGUGAAGAAGGUCUUCGGAUCGUAAAGCUCUGUUGUAAGUCAAGAACGGGUGUGAGAGUGGAAAGUUCACACUGUGACGGUAGCUUACCAGAAAGGGACGGCUAACUACGUG
rnacentral:rRNA from 1 species